GAUGAAGAACGUAGCGAAACGCGAUAAGUAGUGUGAAUUGCAGAAUUCAGUGAAUCAUCGAAUCUUUGAACGCACAUUGCGCCCCAUGGUAUUCCGUGGGGCAUGCCUGUUCGAGCGUCAUUUACCCCCUCAAGCUCCGCUUGGUGUUGGGCGUCUGUCCCGCUUCGCGCGCGGACUCGCCCCAAAGGUAUUGGCAGCGGUCGUGCCAGCUUCUCGCGCAGCACAUUGCGCUUCUCGAGGCACCGGUGGGCCCGCGUCCAUCAAGCUCACCCCCCCAGUUUGACCUCGGAUCAGGUAGGGAUACCCGCUGAACUUAAGCAUAUCAAUAAGCGGAGGA
rnacentral:misc_RNA from 1 species